CUUAUGUUAUUUUAUAGAUGUAGAAUAUUUUCAUAAGAGGCUAAAAAAUUUUAAAAAUAGACUAGGAUUAGAUACCCUAUUAUUUUAAAAUAUAAAUAAUAUACUAGAUUAUUAUAAGUUAGUUACUUUAAAUUUAAAAAAUUUGGCGGUAGUUUAGUCUAUUCAGAGGAACCUGUUUUUAAAUCGAUACACCACGUAAAAUUUUACUUGUUUUGUAUGGUUUGUAUACCAUCAUUGUUAGAUAAUUUUUAAAGAAAAAUAAAUUAUUGCAAGCAGUUUAUCUGAAAAAAUUAGAUCAAGGUGCAGCUUAUAAAUAAGUUAAAAUGGGUUACAAUAAAUUUAUAUUUAGACGAAAUAAUAUUAAAAAGAAUAAAAUUAGGAAGGUGGAUUUGAUUGUAAUCUAAGGUUUAAUAUGAUUAGGAGAAA
rnacentral:rRNA from 1 species